CUUUCUCCCUGCUGGAUGCUUCCUGUCCCUGAACAUCAGACUCCAAGUUCUUCAAUUUUAUUAUUAUUAUUUUUUACAGUGCAAAGAGCUGGCUGUGAAAGGCAGCUUUGUUAGAACUAUUUAUGAAAUUCUCACUUGUGCCUGACUGCGGGGAGAUAAAAAUCAACCUCCACAAAGGCCUCCCAGCUUGAGUUGUGGCUGCUGCACUAUGGGUUUGUUUAUGUUUAGCAGGUGGGGUCCACAGGGAGCCUGUGACCAGGGCAGGGGCUGCAGCAGUUGAAGAUAUGCCUGUCAUUAUUUAAUUAAAUCAUCUCGGGCAUGUCCCCUAACUUCUCCGAGCCUCAGUUUCAUCUAUGGUAAAAGGAGGUUGAUUAUCCAUCUACUCACAGGGGUUCUGAGAGAAGCAAAGAACGGGCUGGUCCCAAGGAACUGCAUUUGAUAAGCCCCCUCCUCCCCCCACCCUACCCCUUCCCCAGGUGAUUCUCAAGCUGGUGUCCCUGGGAUCACCCCUGGAGAAACCACACCGAUGGAAGUCACUUGAAACACAGGAGAAAAGAUUCUAAAGUUGUGUCUAAACCAAAAAUUGCUAACAGUCAAACUGCCUUUCAAAAUUCUCUGGGAAGGGACCUCCCUGGAGAGGACAGCCAUCUCUCCAUGAGGUCAACACAGACAUUGUUUCCUCCAGUGCUGAAACAGACCACCGUGCUUUCCCUGGGCCCCAGAUGAACGGGGUGACGUGAGGCUCACCCCCGUUAUGGGAAGACACUCUCACUGAGCGGGGCUCGGAGAAACUGGGACCCAGUGGUUGGCACAGCCAGGUUCUGAACGCAGACCAUCUGGCCCCAGAGGCAAGGUCCUAACCCCUGUGCAGUGAGGGUGUCCAUGGGGACCUCCACGGACCGGCAGUGCUUGGGUUAAAGCAGCCUUAGGGCCGUCGGUCUGGACGCGGCGCACACGCAGAAGUGAAGAGGGGAGGAGGGGAGGUGUUCAGUGCAGCGGAGUUAACCACAGAAACCACGGCGAGGGGAGGCGUGGGCCCUCGCCCGGCUUCGGUGGUCACUGGUCUCACGGGCGGUACUAGGCAGGUGAGCUGUGAUUAAAAAUUGGCUCAGCCACCGGUCCUUUACCCAAGCUGCUCACAAGUCAGAGAGGCUGGCUGCUUUGAGUUUCCUCUGUUUCUUUCCUUUUUCUUCUUGGUUAUAGGCACUGCACAGUGUUAGCAUAGCUCAGAAGGAGACCCCGGGAUAACAAAAAGGCCUGCACGAUCCCCAGCCUGACCAUCAACAGGGACCUGCCAUGGGUCAGAAGGGACCUGCCCACACAUGUCCGCAUGUCCUCUGCGGCUGGGGAGGAGGAGGCAGGAUUCCUGGCUUCCCUCCAGGCUCUGCAACCACUUCCCCUCCUCCCUCUCUCCUGCUAUUAAAUUUAGGUCUCUUUCCGGAAUGUUCUAAGCCUUUUUAAAGGGAGCAACACACUGUUCCUGCGUUGGCUGUUACCUCUGAGAAACCGGGAAUAAAUUGCCAAGUAACUGCCGAUGGCUUUGAGCCUGGACUCUGGGCUCGGGAUCCUCCUAGGCCCACCCCUGGGAUGAGUCAUCGUCAGUCGGAAGGACCUCUCCCUCCUAAGACCCCUGAGCUGCUCCAGGCGCGGCUGUAAAAGCUGGCCUCGGCAUGGCCCCUGUCUCUCCCCACGCCUGACCGCCCUGCUCCUCACCCCACUGUCCUCUCCCUGAUGUCAGCUCAUUCAUUCCACCGGUCUCUGUCACAGAUCCCAACAGGCUCUGCCUGUGGC
rnacentral:lncRNA from 10 species